rnacentral:rRNA from 1 species
UACAGAGGGUGCAAGCGUUAAUCGGAUUUACUGGGCGUAAAGCGUGCGUAGGUGGUUUCGUAAGUCGGAUGUGAAAGCCCCGGGCUCAACCUGGGGACUGCAUUCGAUACUGCGAGACUCGAGUUUGGUAGAGGGUGGCGGAAUUCCCGGUGUAGCGGUGAAAUGCGUAGAUAUCGGGAGGAACAUCAAUGGCGAAGGCAGCCACCUGGGCCUGAACUGACACUGAGGCACGAAAGCGUGGGUAGCAAACAGG